rnacentral:rRNA from 1 species
GAUGAACGCUGGCGGCGUGCCUAAUACAUGCAAGUCGAGCGAACAGACGAGGAGCUUGCUCCUCUGACGUUAGCGGCGGACGGGUGAGUAACACGUGGAUAACCUACCUAUAAGACUGGGAUAACUUCGGGAAACCGGAGCUAAUACCGGAUAAAAUAUUGAACCGCAUGGUUCAAUAGUGAAAGACGGUUUUGCUGUCACUUAUAGAUGGAUCCGCGCCGCAUUAGCUAGUUGGUAAGGUAACGGCUUACCAAGGCAACGAUGCGUAGCCGACCUGAGAGGGUGACCGCCCACCCUGGAACUGAGACACGGUCCAGCCUCCUACGGGAGGCAGCAGUAGGGAAUCUUCCGCAAUGGGCGAAAGCCUGACGGAGCAACGCCGCGUGAGUGAUGAAGGUCUUCGGAUCGUAAACCUCUGUUAUUAGGGAAGAACAAAUGUGUAAGUAACUAUGCACGUCUUGACGGUACCUAAUCAGAAAGCCACGGCUAACUACGUG